UACGAAGGGGGCUAGCGUUGUUCGGAAUUACUGGGCGUAAAGCGCGCGCAGGCGGUCCUUCAAGUCAGAGGUGAAAGCCCAGAGCUCAACUCCGGAACUGCCUUUAAGACUGCAUCGCUAGAAUCAUGGAGAGGUGAGUGGAAUUCCGAGUGUAGAGGUGAAAUUCGUAGAUAUUGGGAAGAACACCGGUGGCGAAGGCGGCGACCUGGUCCGAUACUGACGCUGAGGCGCGAAAGCGUGGGGAGCAAACAGG
rnacentral:rRNA from 1 species